rnacentral:rRNA from 1 species
UAAUACGGAAGGUCUAAGCGUUAAUCGGAAUUACUGGGCGUAAAGCGCGCGUAGGUGGUUUAUUAAGUUGGGUGUGAAAGCCCCGGGCUCAACCUGGGAACUGCAUCCAAAACUGAUUCACUAGAGUACGAAAGAGGAAAGUAGAAUUCACAGUGUAGCGGUGGAAUGCGUAGAUAUUGUGAAGAAUACCGAUGGCGAAGGCAGCUUUCUGGUUCUGUACUGACACUGAGGUGCGAAAGCAUGGGUAGCGAAGAGGAUUAGAUACCCUCGUAGUCCAUGCCGUAAACGAUGUGUGUUAGAUGUUGGAAAUUUAUUUUCAGUAUCGCAGCGAAAGCGUUAAACACACCGCCUGGGGAGUACGACCGCAAGGUUAAAACUCAAAUGAAUUGACGGGGACCCGCACAAGUAGUGGAGCAUGUGGUUUAAUUCGAAGAUACGCGCAGAACCUUACCAACACUUGACAUGUUUGUCGCGACUUUAAGAGAUUAAAGUUUUCGGUUCGGCCGGACAAAACACAGGUGCUGCAUGGCUGUCGUCAGCUCGUGUCGUGAGAUGUUGGGUUAAGUCCCGCAACGAGCGCAACCCUCACUUUUAGUUGCCAUCAUUUAGUUGGGCACUCUGAAAGAACUGCCAGUGAUAAGCUGGAGGAAGGUGGGGAUGACGUCAAGUCCUCAUGGCCCUUACGUGUUGGGCUACACACGUGCUACAAUGGCAUUUACAAUAGGAUGCAAGAUGGCGACAUCAAGCAAAUCCUAAAAAAAUGCCUCAGUUCGGAUUGUACUCUGCAACUCGAGUACAUGAAGCUGGAAUUACUAGUAAUCGCGGAUCAGCGCGCCGCGGUGAAUACGUUCCCGGGUCUUGUACACACCGCCCGUCACACCAUGGGAGUUGGUUCUACCUUAAGGCAAAGUUUAAAACCUUUGACCACGGUAUAGUCAGCGACUGGGGUGAAGUCGUA